rnacentral:rRNA from 1 species
GACGAACGCUGGCGGCGUGCUUAACACAUGCAAGUCGAGCGGUAAGGCCUUUCGGGGGUACACGAGCGGCGAACGGGUGAGUAACACGUGGGUGACCUGCCCUCAGCUCUGGGAUAAGCCUGGGAAACCGGGUCUAAUACUGGAUAUGACUCCAUGACGCAUGUUGGUGGGGUGGAAAGCCUUGUGCGGCUGAGGAUGGGCCCGCGGCCUAUCAGCUUGUUGGUGGGGUGAGGCCUACCAAGGCGACGACGGGUAGCCGGCCUGAGAGGGCGACCGGCCACACUGGGACUGAGACACGGCCAGACUCCUACGGGAGGCAGCAGGUGGGGAAUCUUGCGCAAUGGGCGAAAGCCUGACGCAGCGACGCCGCGUGA